rnacentral:tRNA from 1 species
GGCGCGGUACUAAAGCGGUUAUAGAGAGGUCUGCAAAACCUUUUAGAUGGGUUCGACUCCCAUCCGCGCCUCCC